rnacentral:rRNA from 1 species
GUGUCAGCAGCCGCGGUAAUACGGAGGGUGCAAGCGUUAUCCGGAUUUACUGGGUUUAAAGGGUGUGUAGGCGGACUUUUAAGUCAGCGGUGAAAUCUCCGGGCUCAACCCGGAAACUGCCAUUGAUACUAUUGGUCUUGAAUGUUGUUGAGGUGGGCGGAACGGGUCAUGUAGCGGUGAAAUGCAUAGAUAUGACCCGGAACACCGAUUGCGUAGGCAGCCCACUAAGCAACGAUUGACGCUGAGGCACGAAAGCGUGGGGAUCAAACAGGAUUAGAUACCCUGGUAGUCC